GAGUUCUGUCGCUUUAAUGGCAGAAUUUUGCGCGUCCUUCAAAUGCAAACAGAACACAUUAUAAUCACUGACGCUGUGUAAACUGGAUACCAGUAAUGUUGUAAAGAUGCGCAUCCAGCCUCUGAUACACUCUACUGACUUCAGAGCAGGUGGAUGGUGUAUUUUUAAUCGCGUCGGGAUGGAGUCGGAGGAAUGUGUUUUUUCGGAGCAUUUGACUGCAGAUUGUUUUGUAAACAAUGAACAGCGUAAUGGAUUCGCAAAGAAACUUAGAUCUGACAGCAGCUACAUCACAAACUGCAUAAAGCUGCACAAUUUAGGAUAUCAGAUUGGUCUGACCUGAGCAGACACACCAGAUCAGUCAGGUGUCAGGUGUUUCUCCCUCGGCCACAAACAUGAACUAUAUGCUGAGCGGUGGACAUCCACAUGUAUUUAAGGACACUCCUGCCAGUCUUCAUGGGUCUUUGGGUCAGAACAUCAGUGUUUUUCAAGGUUUAUACCUUAAUGUUGAUCACAUGACCAGCUGUGCCAUGAUUUAAGAUACUAC